AUGAUUAAAGCAAGAACAGCAAUGAAGAGGAUCCAACCUUUCACUAUUGGGACCAAGUUAUCUGUCCCCUCUGAAAACAAAUGUCUGGAUUAUGUGAGCAUCAUGAUUCCUGAACCAGCUCUGGACUGCUGUGAACUAAGAAACGACUCAAACAAUGAUAAUUCUCCUUUCCAUGAGGACAGAGUGUCCACAUCUACACCUGUGGAGGGACUUUCAGACGAUAUUAAAGAGGGAGAUGACAGGGACUCUGUGUCCCCACCAGCUUCCUCCAGAUCCAUCAGGAAGAUUGCUAUGUGUGCAACUGCUGAAAACCAGACUGUCACGGACUUUAAUGUGACAAACUGUGAGACAAACAAGCCAAGUACUUCUACUGAAAAGCUGUUUCUUGUUGAGGAAUGUGACAAGCCCGGUGCACAGCUGGAGACUGAUCCAUGGACUAUAGGAAGGAAGAUAAGGAACCUUCGUUAUGAUUACAGCAUGCCAACUUUCCCACAUGAUCAACCAGAGGACACGUCUCACAGCCAAAGAAGAGACUUCAAAGACUUUGAGAACUCGCUCAUCCAACUGACGACGAGUCUGGACUUGAUGCAGGAGGAACCAAAAAGUCCUCUUCAGAAGAAGACAGACGCUGUAGAUUUAGGAUUGGAGAUGUUUAGUAGAAGACAAAGCCCGGGGGACCACGUUGACAAAUCGUGGCUGAAGUUGAGGUCACUCCUGAGGGACUAUCAUCAGGAUCUCAUGUUGGCUCUAGAUGUCUCAUCGUUUUACCAGCAAGCCGACAGCAUCAUUGGCACCAUCAACAGCAAGAGGAACCAUGUAUUGGCGGGUGACAUCCAAAAAAGCGACAAAGAGACCAGAGAAAUUGCCUGUCAGAUCAACAUGCUGAAUGAGUCUGCGUCUUGCCUGUUGACUCUCCACCCAACCCUGGCCAAAAGAGUUACAUGCAAACAGGCCGAGGUGGAGGAGAACUGGGCACUUCUCCAGGACUUCCUCCGGAACCAGAAGACAGAUGUUUCUUCAAAAUGCCCGUUGACGUUACCCGCUGAUCCUCUAACCACAUGCCCUGACUCACAGAGCUUUGCUAGAAUUGAGGGUCACAGCGUAAUGGGAAAAGACGUCAAAGAAGAGCAAAACCGUCUCCGAGGAUUUGAGUGCUCUCAAGGCCUGUGGACCCAUAGGAUGUGGAGUCCGGUUGAGGAAUGUUCUGUAGGCAGUCGGGACUCACUGUCGGAGAGCAGCUGUUCCAAGCUGGACAAUGUCUCUGAAAAACAGGACAGGAAGAGCUGUAUCGGCCAGAGGGCUCAAACAACCCCCGUUUCCUCUCAAGAAUGUAUCAGACCCAAGCAGUUGAAGGAGUCAACAGCAUCCACUGGAACUAAUGAAGAGCAUGACUGCUCAAAGCAAAGACAAGACGACAAAAUAGAGGAGCUACUAAGCCAGGUGGAGGUCCUUUGGGAUGCUCUGCAGGAGAAAUAUGGAGAGAACAAUAAGACGGAACCAGCGGAAAAAGAACAAUCCGGAGAUAAAGCUGCACAGAUGGUGUCAGAUCUCACAGUUUCAAACCAUCUCUCGGAAAAUGUAGAGGAAUGCAGUUCAGGAAUGCUUGAAAAGUUCCUUGAACUUCUAGAUCACAGUGGUUGUCACAAAAUAAGUCAGGAUGUUCCUGGAUUUCUGCAUAGGGAAGAAAUGGCUGAGGCUGCAGAAAUGUCACUAAAUCUACUGAGUCAUCAAACUGAACAAGAAAGACCCCAGAAGCAGGACCAGAUUACUAAUGAGCUACAAAGCUCACUAUCUACUCUAACACUGCGGAUAAACCAGAACCUCUGCCGCUGUGCUGAGCUCAGUAUGGACCUCCUGGACAUAGAAACAGAUAUGACUGUGCUUUGUGACUCGGACCUCAGUGGUCUGGAGGGGCUACAGGAGCAGCAGGAUGACCUAGAGGCUCAUUAUAAUAUCAUUGUGGGAGAGGUGAGAGAGAUGGAGAGACUAGCCAGUCAGAUACAAGUUCAUCCCCCAGAGCAGAGAGACCCUCUCAGGGAAGAGGUUCAGGCGAUCCUGCAGGCUUGGGAGGAAGUAGGCCGCAACAUGGUUGAAAACAGAGGGCGCCUGGAGAAGUUCCACCAGAUUCAGGACUACUUCGAAAACUAUCUUGCCAUGAUUACGUGGACGGAGAACACCAGAUCAUGUAUGCUUGCUGGCAGCUCUGCUUGGAGAGAGAGUGAAGUUGCAGAGAUUGAGCGCAGCAUUGAAACAAAGCUGGAUGAGUUUAGCAAACUGGCUGCAGCUGGUCAAAUGCUUAUGCAAGAUGAGAGUCAGUUUAAAGACAUUAUCAAGGAGAGAACAGAUGAGUUGCAAAGCAUGCUGGGAUGGAUCCAGGUGAACUGGCACGCUCUAAGAGAGCAGCUUAAAAGAAACCAGAACGGGAGUCCAGAGUCAACAAAUGAUCUUGUUCAACAGCAGGCUAUGCCUUUCAAAAAGCCUUCUAAUAGUAUGUGCAUUGUAAAUGGAGAGGUCAAAGGAAGUGCUACUGAAACACAGCCCUCUCAAAACAACUUUGAGCAACAGAGUGGGAGGCAUGAUGUGUCCGGCCUUGUUAGUCAGGAGUCCUGCCUUUCAAAGACAUCCCUAGGCUCAAGCAUCUGUCUUAUUUUGAGCUUUGAUGAACAGUCUUCAGGCAUCAACCAAGUGACAAAGCAAUGGUCACCCAACAAUAAUAAAAUACUUAAAGAGUCAGCAAGCAGCAUUCAGGGAGACAGACGUCAAUCACAAGACAAAAACUCAGUCAUGAGUAAAGAGACCAAACCCAAGUCAUCUUGUGUGAAUCUUGCACAGUUGCAAAUCAAAAACCAAGGAGAACCAGACCAGUCACCAAACAAAGAGGAAAUAUCCAGGCAAUUGUCCACGUAUAACAUUGAAUCAUCAGUUUGCAAUCACCUACAAGAGAAUCUGCAGUACAGCAACAGCCAAACAUAUCUGCAGCUAUCACCAGACAUUGAUCAAAUGCAAAAUCCAGAGCAUCAAGCGCAAAAACCUCAGUCCCAAAGCUACAGUCAGAACUUGAUGCAAAAAUCUUCACAUAACAAUCUAGAAAUAAACCAAAGUGAUGACCACCUGCGGCAUGAAGUGGCAACUGAAGUCACUCAUAGAGUGUUCACAUAUUUGCACGUCUCGGAUAGUUACAGAUCCACAGGACGAGUCUUGGAGGUCGAAUCCUCGACACAUGCAGCAGGGCAGGACGUGACAACCUCUGCAUCAGGUUCCUCCUCAGUUCAAUCGUCCUCCUCCCUUUGGCAAAAUGUCACACCUGAGAGAGGAACGGUUUACAAUCACAGUGGAUUCAAGCUAAGUUCUUUGUUCAAGCUGAAAGAACCAAUCAGAUGUAAGGAGGAAAACCAGCGAAGGAACUCUCUGCUUGACACUGUAGGAUCGGAAAAGUCUGGCAAACCUUCAAGCAUUUUCAGGCGAAGGUGUAACACUUGGCCAGAAAGAGAAAGGAGAGCGAAAGAAAGUCAAUCAAACUCCAAACUUCAGGUUUUUAUAAAAAAAAACAUGUUGCCGGUGAAUUCUGUCAUCGAUAACAAGUCAGACUCUUUUCCAGAAGACAAUUUCCCUAAUGCUGUCAAGACUUCAAGUGGACCAGUUAAAAACAUCUGCUCUUAUUUGUCUCUAGGAUCCACUCUUAGCUUCAAUCUUCCCAAGUGCUUUCACAACAGUGUCUUGGACAUGAAAAAUACAGAGGAGAUUCAACCUGUCCAGAUUAAUGAUGACUCAAACAACCAAACAUUACCCUCGGCUGGAACACUACAGUCAGAAAGGGAGGUAGAACCAGUGAUUCAUACUAAACAAACUGAAAUAAACCUGGAUACGGUUGAUGUGGAAGAUUUGGACAGUACAGCAGAACCAACCACUGAGGUUGAGACCCAACAGUUAAACCAAGUUUAUGAAAGCACAGAAUCUGUUCUGAGGGUUUUCACGUCGGCUGUAUAUGAAGAACCUGAUAAUGUUUCCUCCAGCCAUCACAAAGCCUCUUCUCCAGUGGUUAAUGGCUCCACCUCUGUCACUCACUGCGGGUCUCUGUGUCAUUCUUCAUCAGGUGGUCACAAUUGCUUAAGUGUUUACACUAAAAUUAAAGACCUGAAUGGCCACUUAUAUUACACAUCCAAACACAUGAAGAUGAACUCCUCAAAAAACUUGUUCCCUAAUAGCCCAGUCUCUGGUAAAAGCGGCCGCAUCAUAAACUGUGGUGUGAGAGACUGUGCAGUAUGUUUCAGUGAUACAGUGAAAGAGACAAGUGUAGACUGUGCAGAGAAACCUGACAUCAGCAUGGAGGAGCUUCUUAAGCCAGGCCACUGGCUAUUCCAGCAGGAGGAAGAGGAACUGGAAGAUAUCUGGAGAGGAAGAGCAGGGCUAUCAAUCAAAACCAACAGGGGACAGGUAGCCCACCCACUCCAUGGAUGAGAUAUAACCCCAUCACAUCACUGGCAAGAUGGAUUAUUUCAUGGAUGGGCUCGUUUUGGAUACCUUGCCAUUUAUCUGCUGUACAUUUAGUAUGCUGUAUGUGUAUUAUUGUAUUUUGGUUGUAUUCUUCUCUAUAUCAAAGUGGUAAAUUUAACUCUAAAGGAAGGUUGAUCUAAGAUCACGUAAUAGACAAUGCAUUGCAGAUACACAAUAGCUGUUUGAAAUUUAAUUGGCAAACUCCAGAUGGCGCCCUUGUCACGCUUAUGCGUACUGUGCAGCAUUAAGUAAGCACAGAGGAAUAGUCAACCCAUGUUCAAUAAAAGGCACCUCUGUGCACA
ensembl:lncRNA